UGUAUAUCUGGAGAUGAAUCAUAUAGUGAAUGGUAAUGUAAAUUGAGGGUGGCAGCCUUAAAUGGAUUCUUCAUAAAGAGGUGAAGAUAUUUUAUUACAUUUUAUAUUUUUUUCCUGCCUCUUUACAUCUCUUUUUUAUUUUCCCUCUUUCACUCCAUUCCUAACCAAUUUAAAGUAUAAAAAUCUAUAAUUAUUUAAUAACAAUCAU
rnacentral:lncRNA from 1 species